rnacentral:rRNA from 1 species
AAUGAUAGUCGGGCUGAAGACUCUACUUGACUAGCUGAGAGGAGGUGCAUGGCCGUCGUCAGUUCGUACUGUGAAGCAUCCUGUUAAGUCAGGCAACGAGCGAGACCCACGCCAACAGUUGCCAGCUCGUCCUCCGGGAUGGUGGGGACACUGUUGGGACCGCCUCUGCUAAGAGGAGGAAGGAAUGGGCAACGGUAGGUCAGCAUGCCCCGAAUUAUCUGGGCUACACGCGGGCUACAAUGGGUGGGACAAUGGGUAUCGACACCGAAAGGUGAAGGCAAUCUCCUAAACCCAUCCUUAGUUCGGAUUGUGGGCUGCAACUCGCCCACAUGAAGCUGGAAUCUGUAGUAAUCGUGUUUCAAAAUAGCACGGUGAAUAUGUCCCUGCUCCUU